GACGAACGCUGGCGGCGUGCUUAACACAUGCGAGUCGAACGGUAAGGCCCUUCGGGGUACACGAGUGGCGAACGGGUGAGUAACACGUGGGUGAUCUGCCCUGCACUUCGGGAUAAGCCUGGGAAACUGGGUCUAAUACCGGAUAGGACCACUGCCCGCAUGGGUGGUGGUGGAAAGCUUUUGCGGUGUGGGAUGGGCCCGCGGCCUAUCGGCUUGUGAGUGGGGUGAUGGCCUACCAAGGCGACGACGGGUAGCCGGCAGGAGGGGGUGACCGGCCACAGUGGGACCAGGAUACGGCCAAGAGUCCUCCGGGAGGCAGGAGUGUGGAAUAGUGCUCAGAGGGCGCAAGCCUGAGGCAGUGACGCCGCGUGAGAGGUGGCGGCCUUCGGGUUGUAAACCUCUUUCAGCAGGGACGAAGCGAGAGUGACGGUACCUGCAGAAGAAGGACCGGACAACUACGUGCCAGCCGCCGCGGUAA
rnacentral:rRNA from 1 species